GGAUGCGAUCAUACCAGCACUAACGCACCGGAUCCCAUCAGAACUCCGAAGUUAAGCGUGCUUCGGCGAGAGUAGUACUAGGAUGGGUGACCCUUGGGAAGUCCUCGUGUUGCAUCCC
rnacentral:rRNA from 1 species